CUGCGCUCUCGCCCCGCCCGCCGCGCCGCCGCUCGGAGGAGGUCGGUCUGUCCGCUCCCGCAGGGCUCGGACCGCGCGGCCGGCGCGACUGGACCGAGCAGAACCCCCGCGAAGGCGGAGACGGUCUCGUUUCCAUCCGGUGUUGAACGGAGGUCCUGGUUCACCCUCCUCUAAUCCUACCUCCAGAGCAGUAAACCAGCAAAGCCUCAGUAGUCCAAUUUUUUUAAAAAGUAACAAUUCAUGGUGAAAGGGAGAAUGCACUGAGGACAAGAGGAUGGCCAGUGAGACAGUGUGUGGAGACUUUUCUCUAAGCUUAUUAAUGUCGCUUAGGGAGGUCUCUGGACAGGGCUGUGAGGGUUUGGGGAGGUAAGAAUGGACCUUCACAGAGGGGUAUUGCAUUGCCCAACCUCACCUUGGAGAAUAAGAAACUUUCUAAGGGAUGACCGAGAGACAAGAAGAGGCAGACUGCUGAGCUGGAUAAAAGUGGACAGGGAUAGGGGGGCACUUUGUUUUUUAUAAGUGUACAUGGAAUUUCAGUUUAGGUUUAUUCCUUGCCUAAGUAUUACAGUUGGUUCAGCAGGUGACAAACGAGUGAAUGUGUCCCAGGCUGGUCCUGGGAUGCCGGACUCUCAAAGGAUGGAUAAUUCUGUAGCCUGGGAGACAGGACUCUGGUCUCCUCAGUUCAGGGAUCAAUACUCCUGACUCACAUUGUUCUGACUUCAGCUUUUCCUGUUUCUCAAUAAAUGGUACUGUUGUUUUUAACA